GGAUCCGCCAUCUUGGAAUUUUUAGAUGGAGAGUCACGUGGUGCGACCAUUUUUCCCCCCGGCCAAUCAGGAAGCGAGGUUUAUUUAUAGCCUCAGCUCCUUCUUCCCCCCCCCCCGUCCCCAUCCAUGCGGGGGGAAGGGAACCAAUCAGGCCACGCCCUGGCCCCCUUGCCCCGCCCAGUGGCGCGCGGCCCGUCGCCUAGGCGACCGCGGGGGGCCGGGAGGGUGUCCGCCAUGUCGCGGUGGCCCCACAGUCCCGCCGGGAGCCAGCCCCGCUGCAGGGUGUGGGACUCCGAGCCCGGCUGUCCCCCCAGAGACGCAGGACCCCUCAGCCUCGGAGGCCCAGGCGGGCCCGGUCCCCUCCAUCGCCAGCCUGGCAGCAGCAUCCCCACCUCGCCUAAGCACCAACGGGCGGCCGGGCGGCUGUGCAAACAGCUGGAGGGGAGCUGGGCCCGUGAGGGAGCGUCUGUUAGCGCCGUCCCUCCUGCCUGGUGACUCUCCAGGGAAGGCCCGCGAAGCUGGUGAAGGGACUGAAGAACAAGUCUGAUGAGGAGCAGCUGAGGGAGCUGGGGUUGUUUAGCCUGGAGAAGAGGAGGCUGAGGGGAGACCUUAUCGCUCUCUACAACUACCUCAGAGGAGGUUGUAGUGAGCACCACAUGGCCAAGAACAAACUCCAUGUGUCCAAGGACUGGCAUGAAGCAAGGAGACCUCCACACCAUGCUGGGCAGCUGCUUCUAGAAGCUCAUGCGAGUGCAGCCAACUCCUUUUUUCCCCCAUCUCUCCUUGACCCACUGCUGCCUAUAGUUUCCUCCAUGGUUUCAUCUGUAUCUACUAAGAGGUGGAAAAGUAACAGAAAGACUCAAAUCUAGAUGGGCUACAAGAAACACAAUGUGGAGGACCGAUCUAAUAGAGAAACAACUGUGGUGAUGCAUUCCUUUAGUUAAAUCUUCCACCUGUAACAAGAAACGUUAUGCAUUCUUUUGUCUUCUUAGUAGUUUGAGGUAUCUGAAACCAUGGAUUUUUGAUUCUCAAGAUACUAAUGGAGAUGGAUUAACUAGAAAUACCAUAGAAAAUGCAAGCCAUAGUUGAUAUAUAGCAUUUUAAUAGAAUAUGAAACUUUUUCUCAGUUUUCUACAUCCAAACUCCCACUCCUGAAGUGUGUUUUUCUUUUCUCCAUCAAGUAUUGUCUAUAAAAAAUGGCUGCUGCUGAGUACACUGCUUUUAAUAGCAAACAGCUGAAUCAAGAUAUCAAAAAUGAAAAGGGGAGAGUACAGUUCAAAAUCUUUACAAACCUUUGCCUGAAUUACCAAGAGUAAAAAAAAAAUAAAAAAUUGUUCAGCAUA